rnacentral:rRNA from 1 species
CUCUCGGGUGACGAGUGGCGGACGGGUGAGUAAUGUCUGGGAAACUGCCUGAUGGAGGGGGAUAACUACUGGAAACGGUAGCUAAUACCGCAUAACGUCGCAAGACCAAAGAGGGGGACCUUCGGGCCUCUUGCCAUCAGAUGUGCCCAGAUGGGAUUAGCUAGUAGGUGGGGUAACGGCUCACCUAGGCGACGAUCCCUAGCUGGUCUGAGAGGAUGACCAGCCACACUGGAACUGAGACACGGUCCAGACUCCUACGGGAGGCAGCAGUGGGGAAUAUUGCACAAUGGGCGCAAGCCUGAUGCAGCCAUGCCGCGUGUAUGAAGAAGGCCUUCGGGUUGUAAAGUACUUUCAGCGGGGAGGAAGGUGUUGCGGUUAAUAACCGCAGCAAUUGACGUUACCCGCAGAAGAAGCACCGGCUAACUCCGUGCCAGCAGCCGCGGUAAUACGGAGGGUGCAAGCGUUAAUCGGAAUUACUGGGCGUAAAGCGCACGCAGGCGGUCUGUCAAGUCGGAUGUGAAUCCCCGGGCUCAACCUGGGAACUGCAUUCGAAACUGGCAGGCUAGAGUCUUGUAGAGGGGGGUAGAAUUCCAGGUGUAGCGGUGAAAUGCGUAGAGAUCUGGAGGAAUACCGGUGGCGAAGGCGG